GGUUCGCUGCUUACUGAGGAUGAAGGGAUCCUAACUCCUGAAGAAUUAAUGGAGAUUUUCACAGAGGCACGUCUGGAAAUUCUAGGUCAAGACCAUUGUCCACUAGAUGACAGAUUAGAUGCUUGUGAAACACCACUGCAAAAAGUAAAGUCUGUUUACCGUGUAAUAUUCAAUGAGAAACGAAUUGCAUCAGAAGGCAUUCUUGGCGAUUCGAGUGUACUUUGAUAUUGUGGUGAGGAGGUAAAAGGUAAAUUCACCUUUUCACUUUGGAUAACUGUGCUCCAAUAAUUGACAGUAAGCUCUACAUUACAUGGAAUAGUGUUUUGCCGAACGGAAUGUCUAAAAACUAAACCCUAUAUCACUGCACGGUAGUGCUUAUCCUGACGUCGCCCAAGUUCAGGCCAUAAUCGAUAAUCAAAAACUGAACAAAAAGGAACAAUUUCAUAUAUUGUAGCUGCUACUGACGUAUUGCUUGGAGAUCGCCAGUUUAGUACAUACAAAGUAUAUAAAGCAAUUUACUGUUAAAACGUUUUACAUUUAUCUGCCACAGAAAAAUAACCCAAAUAUAUAUUGCCUCAAUAAGUCAUGUUCAGAAUGAAGAACAUUUUAACCCUGUUUAGUAUGCAUUUUGAGUUGUUAUUCAUUAAACUAUAUAUAC